rnacentral:rRNA from 1 species
UACGAGGGGGGCAAGCGUUGUUCGGAAUUAUUGGGCGUAAAGGGUGCGUAGGUGGUUCGGCAAGUCUUGUGUGAAAUCUUCAGGCUCAACUUGAAGUCUGCACAAGAAAACUGCCGGGCUUGAGUAUGGGGAGAGGUGAGUGGAAUUUCCGGUGUAGCGGUGAAAUGCGUAGAUAUCGGAAGGAACACCUGUGGCGAAAGCGGCUCACUGGACCAUUACUGACACUGAGGCACG